AUUGAACGCUGGCGGCAGGCCUAACACAUGCAAGUCGAACGAGUGGCGGACGGGUGAGUAAUGUCUGGGAAACUGCCUGAUGGAGGGGGAUAACUACUGGAAACGGUAGCUAAUACCGCAUACCAUCGGAUGUGCCCAGAUGGGAUUAGCUAGUAGGUGGGGUAAUGGCUCACCUAGGCGACGAUCCCUAGCUGGGCUGAGAGGAUGACCAGCCACACGGGAACUGAGACACGGUCCAGACGCCUACGGGAGGCAGCAGUGGGGAAGAGUGCACAAUGGGCGUAAGCCUGAUGCAGCCAUGCCGCGUGUAUGAAGAAGGCCUUCGGGGUGUAAAGGACUUUCAGCGAGGAGGCGUUACUCGCAGAAGAAGCACCGGCUAACUCCGUGCCAGCAGCCGCGGUAAGUC
rnacentral:rRNA from 1 species